CCUACGGGCGGCAGCAGUGGGGAAUAUUGGACAAUGGGGGGAACCCUGAUCCAGCGACGCCGCGUGAGUGAAGAAGUAUUUCGGUAUGUAAAGCUCUAUCAGCAGGGAAGAAAGAAAUGACGGUACCUGACUAAGAAGCCCCGGCUAACUACGUGCCAGCAGCCGCUGUAAUACGGAGGGGGCAGGCGUUAUCCGGAUUCACUGGGUGUAAGGGGGGCGUAGACGGCGAUGCAAGUCUGAAGUGAAAGGCGGGGGCCCAACCCCCGGACUGCUUUUGAAACUGUAAGGCUGGAGUGCAGGAGAGGUAAGUGGAAUUCCUAGUGUAGCGGUGAAAUGCAUAGAUAUUAGGAGGAACACCAGUGGCGAAGGCAGCAUACCGGCGCUCAACUGACGCUGAGGCACGAAAGCGUGGGGAUCGAACAGGAUUAGAUACCCCUGUAGUC
rnacentral:rRNA from 1 species